rnacentral:rRNA from 1 species
UGAGGAAUAUUGGUCAAUGGGCGCAAGCCUGAACCAGCCAUCCCGCGUGAAGGAAGACUGCCCUAUGGGUUGUAAACUUCUUUUGUACAUGAAGAACGGGCCUUACGUGUAAGGUUAUGACGGUAAUGUACGAAUAAGCAUCGGCUAACUCCGUGCC